ACUCCUACGGAAGGCAGCAGUGGGGAAUUUUGGACAAUGGGCGCAAGCCUGAUCCAGCCAUGCCGCGUGAGUGAAGAAGGCCUUCGGGUUGUAAAGCUCUUUCGGACGGAAAGAAAUCGCGCAGGCUAAUACCCUGCGCGGAUGACGGUACCGUCAUAAGAAGCACCGGCUAACUACGUGCCAGCAGCCGCGGUAAU
rnacentral:rRNA from 1 species